rnacentral:rRNA from 1 species
AAAUUGAAGAGUUUGAUCAUGGCUCAGAUUGAACGCUGGCGGCAGGCCUAACACAUGCAAGUCGAGCGGUAACACAGAGAGCUUGCUCUCGGGUGACGAGCGGCGGACGGGUGAGUAAUGUCUGGGAAACUGCCUGAUGGAGGGGGAUAACUACUGGAAACGGUAGCUAAUACCGCAUAACGUCGCAAGACCAAAGUGGGGGACCUUCGGGCCUCAUGCCAUCAGAUGUGCCCAGAUGGGAUUAGCUAGUAGGUGGGGUAAUGGCUCACCUAGGCGACGAUCCCUAGCUGGUCUGAGAGGAUGACCAGCCACACUGGAACUGAGACACGGUCCAGACUCCUACGGGAGGCAGCAGUGGGGAAUAUUGCACAAUGGGCGCAAGCCUGAUGCAGCCAUGCCGCGUGUAUGAAGAAGGCCUUCGGGUUGUAAAGUACUUUCAGCGAGGAGGAAGGCAUUAAGGUUAAUAACCUUGGUGAUUGACGUUACUCGCAGAAGAAGCACCGGCUAACUCCGUGCCAGCAGCCGCGGUAAUACGGAGGGUGCAAGCGUUAAUCGGAAUUACUGGGCGUAAAGCGCACGCAGGCGGUCUGUCAAGUCGGAUGUGAAAUCCCCGGGCUCAACCUGGGAACUGCAUUCGAAACUGGCAGGCUAGAGUCUUGUAGAGGGGGGUAGAAUUCCAGGUGUAGCGGUGAAAUGCGUAGAGAUCUGGAGGAAUACCGGUGGCGAAGGCGGCCCCCUGGACAAAGACUGACGCUCAGGUGCGAAAGCGUGGGGAGCAAACAGGAUUAGAUACCCUGGUAGUCCACGCCGUAAACGAUGUCGACUUGGAGGUUGUGCCCUUGAGGCGUGGCUUCCGGAGCUAACGCGUUAAGUCGACCGCCUGGGGAGUACGGCCGCAAGGUUAAAACUCAAAUGAAUUGACGGGGGCCCGCACAAGCGGUGGAGCAUGUGGUUUAAUUCGAUGCAACGCGAAGAACCUUACCUACUCUUGACAUCCAGAGAACUUAGCAGAGAUGCUUUGGUGCCUUCGGGAACUCUGAGACAGGUGCUGCAUGGCUGUCGUCAGCUCGUGUUGUGAAAUGUUGGGUUAAGUCCCGCAACGAGCGCAAC